rnacentral:rRNA from 1 species
GACGAACGCUGGCGGCGUGCUUAACACAUGCAAGUCGAACGGGCCUUGUCCCCUUUUUUUUUGGGGGUGGGGUUAGUGGCGAACGGGUGAGUAACACGUGAGUAACCUGCCCCUCACUUCUGGAUAACCGCUUGAAAGGGUGGCUAAUACGGGGUGUUCUGGCCUGCUCGCAUGGGUGGGUUUGGAAAGAUUCGACCGGUUUUGGUUGUUUUGGUGGGGGAUGGGCUCGCGGCCUAUCAGCUUGUUGGUGGGGUGAUGGCCUGCCAAGGCUUUGACGGGUAGCCGGCCUGAGAGGGUGGGCGGUCACACUGGGACUGAGACACGGCCCAGACUCCUACGGGAGGCAGCAGUGGGGAAUAUUGCACAAUGGGCGCAAGCCUGAUGCAGCGACGCCGCGUGAGGGAUGGAGGCCUUCGGGGUGUGAACCUCUUUCGCCAGUGAAGAAGGUCCUGCUCUUUGUGGUGGGGUUGACGGUAGCGGGGGUAAUGAAGCGCCGGCUAACUACGUG